AUCCUGACCGGGCAGGGAGCCACCGCGAGCAGGACGGUGGGUUCCCAGGGCGAGGCUUGCCCGGUGCACUGCAGACGUGCUGACCCCUGCGAUUUCCCCAAAUAUGGGAAACUCGACCGCAUACUUUGCAGUAGUGGGGGACUGCGUUCCCAGCACUCUCCCU
ensembl:snRNA U1 U1 spliceosomal RNA